UACGUGAGGGGCGAACGUUGUUCGGUGUCACUGGGCUUAAAGGGUGCGUAGGUGGUUUCGUAAGUAAGGUGUGAAAGCCCUCGGCUUACCCGGGGAAUUGCGCCUUAUACUGCGAGACUUGAGGAUUUCAGGGGAAUGGGGAACUCCAGGUGUAGCGGUGAAAUGCGCAGAUAUCUGGGGGAAGACCGGCGGCGAAGGCGCCAUUCUGGGAAAUUCCUGACACUGAGGCACGAAAGCGUGGGGAGCAAACAGG
rnacentral:rRNA from 1 species